rnacentral:rRNA from 1 species
CAGGGAAUAUUGCACAAUGGGCGAAAGCCUGAUGCAGCGACGCCGCGUGAGUGAAGAAGGCCUUCGGGUCGUAAAGCUCUUUUGUAGGGGAAGAGGAAGGACGGUACCCUGAGAAAAAGCGUCGGCUAACUACGUGCCAGCAGCCGCGGUAAGACGUAGGACGCGAGCGUUAUCCGGAAUUACUGGGCGUAAAGGGCCAGCAGGCGGCUAGGUAAGUUGUGCGUGAAAGCCUCGUGCUCAACGCGAGGAAGCCGGACAAUACUGUCUAGCUAGAGGGCAUCAGAGGGGAGUGGAAUUCCCGGAGUAGCGGUAAAAUGCGCAGAUAUCGGGAGGAACACCGAUGGCGAAGGCAACUCCCUGGGGUGUACCAGACGCUAAGUGGCGAAAGCUAGGGGAGCGAACA